GCCUAUAUGGCUGCUUAUCAGGGAUCUGAGUUGCUAUAACAUGAGAUUCUUAAUCUCAGCGUCAUGGGUUUGAGCCCCACCUUGGGCA